rnacentral:lncRNA from 1 species
UAUAUAGCUAGGUUCCCAUGGCUGAUGAUAGAUAUUUGAUCUGGUUUCGCUUGCUUAGCUGCUGAAGAAAUGGGUGUAGAAGUCUUAAUUUUCAUGAAGCAGGCGUCAUUCUGAGAUGAUAUGCUGCUCUGGUUUUCUCCUUGUUGCCGAAGAAUUUGAGAAGGUGCAAAGAGAGAGUGUUUGUUCAUAGUAUCAGUGUGCUUCAGCAAUAAUUGGAAGAAGCUGGUGUAGAGAUCAGUUUAUAACUUCUUAUUAGGUUUCCUUAUCAGAGUACCAAGUUGUAAUCAUGCUUGACUUUUGUUGAUGGAAAACUUCAACUAAGUUGGCUUAUUAUGAAACUUCUCGGAAUGUUGCAUAGAAUCAUUGUUGGUCAAGUUAUGAAAUGCUGUAUCCCUUUAAUGUGGUUUCAGUGUUUCGCUCUGAACUAAGGCAGUAAUCCUUUUAAGGAUGUGAACUGCAGUUGUGCAGUUGUAGCAACUUAUGAAAACCUGCAUGCAUAAGUUCAAAUCCUUUCUUAAAUUUACGGAUGUAGAUUUUGCUACUAGGAAAGUUUCUUCGAAAAAUUCAUGUGCAUUCUGACAUUUGUCAAAAACAAAAAUGUACCAUUACAGGUCGCAUGAAUUGCAGCCCGAACAUCCCUUUCAGGCGUCACCUUGAGCUGAACUGUUGGAACAGAGGAAUGGCGCUCUUGUCUUCGAGGAAUUUUCCUGAUGACUAUUGAAACAAUAUGGUAUGGAAUGGCAUUGCUGAUCAUUUGCCUUCCAGGAAUUUUCCUGAUGACCAGUGGAAUAAGGGAAUGGCCUUAAUCGUUGAUCAUUUGACUUCCAGGAAUUUUCCUGGUGGCUAUUGGAAUUAUGGAAUGGCGUUGAUUGUCGAUCACUUGACUUCCAGGAAUUUUCCUGAUGACUAUUGGAAUAAUUGAAUGGCAUUAAUUUUUUAUCAUUCUACUUCCAGGAAUUUUCCUGAUGAACCUGACACUACUCACUACUGUCUAAGUCCAAGUAUCAGUAGCAUUUUUUCCCCUUCUUUUUCUCCGUCUAUGUAUAGAUGCUGCAGGAUCUCAUUAUAGAUGGAUCUGGCGUACGAAAAUGCCUCUAAAGACUCGAUGCUUACUAGAGAAAAUAUGCAUAAGCCGAAUUGGACUGGCAAUGAUCGAACUGAAACUGCUAGACAUCUCUUUUUUUUACCUGCCUCGCUGUUAGGGUGGUUUGGGGUUCUGUUGAAGUUGUUCUGGUCUUCUGGAUGCCAGCUGCUGCUGCCCUUCCCCUAUUUGGCAAGCCUUUUCCUGGUUUUACUUUUUCCUUCAUGGUGGAUAUUGCUGCUAUCUGCUAUCUGAUCAUCAUGUUGGUGACUCCCUACUACAAAUCGCCAGUCCUGCAAAUCUCUUCAACAAUGACGGCUCAAGGCGGCCCGUCAGUGGUAGCGUUCAUCACUGACGGGCCGGCCAUGACCGGUUAGUGAUGAGUCUGGGAGGGCUAUUCAAGUAAGUAAACACUGACAAGCCACUAGCCGACCAGCCAGUGACGAGUCAUUUGUCCACUCCCUGGUGACCCAUCACGAACCAGUUGCUUCGGGUAACAGCUUCCCGCCANNNNNNNNNNNNNNNNNNNNNNNNNNNNNNNNNNNNNNNNNNNNNNNNNNNNNNNNNNNNNNNNNNNNNNNNNNNNNNNNNNNNNNNNNNNNNNNNNNNNNNNNNNNNNNNNNNNNNNNNNNNNNNNNNNNNNNNNNNNNNNNNNNNNNNNNNNNNNNNNNNNNNNNNNNNNNNNNNNNNNNNNNNNNNNNNNNNNNNNNNNNNNNNNNNNNNNNNNNNNNNNNNNNNNNNNNNNNNNNNNNNNNNNNNNNNNNNNNNNNNNNNNNNNNNNNNNNNNNNNNNNNNNNNNNNNNNNNNNNNNNNNNNNNNNNNNNNNNNNNNNNNNNNNNNNNNNNNNNNNNNNNNNNNNNNNNNNNNNNNNNNNNNNNNNNNNNNNNNNNNNNNNNNNNNNNNNNNNNNNNNNNNNNNNCCCCCCUAUUGAUUUUCAGUUGUUUUUUAUGUGAGAUACAGAAUACUACUCCCUCCGUUGCUAAAUACAAGUCUUUUUAGAGAUUCCACUAUGGACUACAUACGGAGCAAAAUGAGUGAAUCUACACUCCAAAAUACGCCCAUAUAUCCGUAUGUAGUUUGUAAUGUAAUCUCUAAAAAAGACUUAUAUUUAGGAACGGAGGGAGUAUCAUAUUAUAUUAUAGGUAGAGAUACAGCUACAUGGAAUAGUAAUUACACGAAAAUGGCAUCUAUACAGUACUUGUCAUGGCAAGCUAGGAGGGGAAAGGGAUGGCUUGGUCACUUUCAGCUCCCCACAACCGCUGAUAUACACAGUUUUCUGUGGGCGAUCCCACAUGGCUCUAGCAGAUUGAGCUCUUUCAUCGCCAAUCAGCUGUGCAAAAUCAUUGAAGAAUUGGAUCCUUUCACCUGGUUUAUAGGUAGGGAUGGUUGCAAUGCUGGAGAUAACGUCCAUUCCUACAUGAUAAAUGAAACGAACAUCAGAACAAAGGGUAAAUAAACUUGGUUGCUUCCAUCUUUUUAUUAUAAAUAACGAGAAGGACCCGGCAGUUCAUAAAAGAGCACGAGGAUGCUCUACGAUAUGCUGGGGCAUUUCAGAAGUUCUGCAAAAUUGCAAAUAAUGCAUGUCCAGUAAAGGAAAAGAUUGAUAAUUGCAUGUAAUAGGUAACAUACACCAACCAACUUAAUUGUCAGUUAUUUUUAAUAAAACAAACAUGUGCCUUUGUGGUGACUAUGGCAUGUAAGCAUGCAAUAUACUAGCAGAUAAGAGGCGUGAACAGUCUCUGGAACAGUCUCUUCAGCACUCCAGAAGUUAUAAUUAACUAUAGAAAUAAAAAGAUCUUAAGUAUAUUAACCUACACUUCGUCAGGUACAUGUAACAUAUGUGCAUUAGACAAAAUGUAACCUGUAAAUUUCGAUAAGUUGAACAGUGAAGAAAAGAUUCAAGCAAGCAGACAGCAUUGCACUUGCGUAACUGAGGCGGACAUGGGAGUUAGCGUUGGCGGGCAUGAGGUUUGCCGACGGGAGGCAGUAAGAGCCUGUUUGGGACUGCUCUGCUCCUUAAAAUUCAGCUUCACUUCAGAAAAGACAAGCCAAACGGGGUAGCUCCACAAUAUUGCCACUCCACAAAAAAACUAGAAUCUGGGUUAUAACUCCCAGUUUUUUAUGAAGCUCUUGAGGGGGUGCUCCAAAAAACUCUAGAAGCUGGAGUUGGGGGGAAAUUACCUACCACUGCCACCAGUAAGUGGAUACCCCUUCGUUUCUCCCCCCUCAUCCAAUCAAAUAGAUCCUUUCCACCAAAUUUUCCAUUCUUGAAGCUGGAGCUACAUGGAAGCCAAACAUUCUCUUUGGUAGUGCUACAACUUCUGUAUGAAACUACUCCAAAGUGAAUUUAGUGGAGUGAAACUGAUUUUGGUGAAGCUGAGCAGUCCCAAACAAGCCCUAAGUUUAAGAAUACUAUUGAACUAGAUAUGUCUUCAAAAUUCUUUGAAUAAAAAGAGAUGUCUUCAUUUAGCCAACCAAAACCAAAUUAUUUUUGGGUGAUGUUAUCCGUUAUGUUUUUUUCUUUUGAGAAAAUGCAAAAGCUUUGCGUCUCGAUGUAUUGAUAGGAAGAAGAGUUUGUACAAGUCCAAAGCUGAGAGACACCCAAAACUACAACACGACGCCACUAAACGUUAGGCGCCGCCCUGCUGGUACCAACGCUGCAAGACCCCUCGCACCCGCCCUUGCCUAGCUUCCGACUUGAUAGUGUCAAGGAGACCAGCUAAACUGAGCUGAGCGUUGUCGAAGAUGAUCACGUUACGAUGUUUCCAGAUAGACUGGAUUAGAAGGAUCCGUUAUCCGAAAAUUUGAAUACCAUGCUAUCAACAUGAUGAAGGGGGACGUGCCCUUUCUAACAGCAGUCUGGAUGGAAUGGCAUGUGAGUUGCCCCCAGUCCACAAAAUAGUGCCUGCAGCGAGGGACACGCCGUCAGUCAGAUCGAGGGGAGCACCUCGUGCCACAUCGUAAGCCAGAAGGAGCAACCCGUGAGGUGACCCAUCGUCUCGUCCGACUGGUCACAGAGCACAUUAGCUAGGUGCAUGCUGCAGGCCACGUCUCUACAGUCUCUCAGCGGUCCUGACAGCCGAGCCACACGAAUUAGCGUGGGGGGAGGGAAGACUUCCACUUCAACUUUCAAGAGCUCGAACCGACCAACCCAUGAAAGAGGGCGCCAUGCCAGGUCUUGGAUGUGUACUGACUGCUCGGUGUCCGCCGCCACUGCUCACAUCUGGUGAGGUGGAAAGCACCACCCCGCGCACCAUUCACCUAACCUGGAUAUACUGCCAAAGGGAUGUCUGACAUCCAACGACGGUCGGUAAAGGCCUCCCUAACUGUGCCCCUUCUUUUCCUAGUGCGCCCUGAGAGCAGGAGAAAGAGCUCACACGCGAACUCUGAAAUAGUGCGCCCAUCCAACAAAAGAUCCUCCAAUAAUAAGGUAGAUGCUCCAUCCCCAACCACUAUGUUGGUGGAUGCGGCAAACACCUCCCGUUCAUCACGGGAGAAGUCCGAUAUAUCUAAGUCUCCUAGGCAGAGUGGCCUGCAACCAAGGGCUGGAGCGGCUCACUCAAUAACCUGCUUAGCGCGAGAGGGGUCCCGAGCUAUCUGAUCAGAGGGAGCUAGCUGACACUCCAUGACCGAUGCUGCCUCCAGGGCCUCCUCGUCCGAACAUCCAAUGGGGGACACUGAGCACUUGUCAAAAUUGGUGGGAAGCCCAAAGAUCGCAAGUAUGCUGCGAACAAUGAGCAACCCUGCUCUAUCCAGGUGGCAGAAGAUGACAGCCCUUCUUCUUAAAGUGAGACGCUCGCAGUCAAAUUCCGGGGUACUAGGCGGCGGAGCAACCCAAGCUCAGCCUUGGACAACAACUUGUUUAGUGUGUCUAUCACCAACACAAACACCAUAUGGGAGAGUGAAUCAACCUGUUGCAGGCCCUUGCGAUGCCAAACCGGCAGAUAACGCCGAUGGGGCAUGCUCAAGCUAGAUAACAAAACUAAUUUUUAAAUCACAGGAUAAGCUAAGGUGUAUGCAGCAAAGAUGAGGAUGUUAUGGCUUGCUGUUGGGAAGAACUAAGGUAGACAUUGAUUCAUUGAUUGAUGACAUGGAUGCUUUUCUGAAUAAUCUAUGACAUGUACAGAUGGGAUGUAAACAAAGCUUGUAACAGUAUAUCACCGGAAGGUUCAUGUUUAGAAAUCCUACUCUAGCAAGGCUACAUUUUGCUCUUAGUCUUACCAACCCUGUCAUUAGUAGACCAGUCAUUAGUCAAAUUCCACAUAACAUAGCUGGUUCACGAAGUGCAUGUUAUUGAAAAUUGAAGGUCCCGAUAUCAAAUUCUUGCAAGACAUUCAACACAGAAUCUGUGAUAACCAUCUCAUACAAGUAAUUCUGAGAGAAGUACUCACCUUCUAAUACAGUUCCAAAGACAAUGUUCUGAUCAUCAAGCUCUGGACAGGGCCCUGGCCCUGUGGUCACCAGGAAUUCAACAUUGUGAUAAUUGGGGCUGAGUUUGAUGCUAUCGUCGUCGUCAUUCUGCUCAAGACACAAGGAUAGGGUGCCAGGCCUUGUAUGUCUUAGUUGAUACGCUUUAGGAUCAACAGUCUCAACAUUUCUCACAAGCUUUGAGGGAGGUUGGACCACACCCUUAUCACGCCGAGAACCUUGUCGGCCAGCAGCAAAGAACUGACCUUGAAGCACCUUGUGGACAAGUGUGCCUCGAUAUGCAGAAGCAGUGCAGGUAGUUUUGAAGUUGGCAGUAGUGAUCGGGAGUAGCCGACCAUAGAGACCAAAGACUACACGUCCGAGGGGCUCGGAAUCAGGGCAAGAAGCAAGUUCAGCUCCUAACGUGCGGUCAUUGCUAAAGAAGCUUGGACAAAUGCUAAAGUCCAUGAAUAUGCGGUCGGUGAUGGUGGUGUCAACUGUGGAUGAGGAUGGAGCGUUUGCAUUGUCUAUGGCAAAGGAGGAGGAGGCGGAGAGGAGAAGAGAGGAAGCAGGGAGUAAGACGAGAGACCGCCUAGGAAUUCUUGGGGAGUGGUUGUAUUUAUGGGUAUUGUCAUGGUUUGGUCUUGAGGUAGCAAAACAGGAAGACUGGCUGUUGGGGUGGUGGUGGAGGCUGCUAAGAGAAACAUGGUCAACCAUGGAGGAAGUAGCUUUUGUGCUUGAUGAAGGCAGCAUUUCGUUGCUAAGUGAAUGCUUCAGUGUUUGUCCUGCUAAUACUUCAUUUCCUGCAAUAACCAAAGAUGAAUGAGGCAUAAACUUUGCUUAAGUAAUAUGCUUACUUUCUCGACAACUAGCAUAACACUGUCAGGUACUCCUUCCGUCCCGAAUUACUUGUCGCAGAAAUGGAUGUAUCUAGAACUAAAAAUACGUCUAGAUACAUCCAUUUCUGUGACAAGUAAUUCGGGACGGAGGGAGUAUAACUAAAAGCCCAGGCAUUCAUAAUACAAAAAACUCUUGGUUAUCUCUCUACUUUUUCACAUGGAGCUCACCCAGGAUGGGGCAUAUGACAAGGGUGUACAUAUCACCCUUUAUUCUAAAAGUGACUCCUACUGCAGCAACCUAAUUAAGCCACAUCACCCCUAGAAUUACAGUCAGUAAAUUAAUUAAUAUUUCCUAUUUACUGCACUCAUGCAUUGUGUGUGGUGCAAACAAUGAAUGUAAGGACUGUUGCUAAACAAUUGGAAGGUUGGUGCCUGAAAGACUAUGUUGAACGGAAACGUUCUGUCUUCGAAAACAACAUUUCAUUCAUAUAUAGAAGUAAAUAAGCUUCAUGCAUACAUAGAAGUAGAAGACGUGUCAUGCAUAUAAAGACCGGAUGUGUACUCUGUUCGACACAGAUCUGUGCAGUAAACCAAUACUCGAUGGACAAUUUAGGUAUGGAGGCACACGAGUUCAAUGUUUAAAUGAAAUAUAUACUGAACGGUUCUGGAAGGUUCUCGUCAGCAUCUUGUCUUACAUAGCAUGCAAUGCUCCCGAUAUCACAUCAACAUCAAGAUAUGUCAAUGUUACUCCCGAAUAACAUCAAAAUCUGCCCCAAGAAUUUAAUUCUCUUUUGGUAACCUGGAGGAGUUGCUUGAGACUGGUACUCAACUGCUCAUUGAAAAUUAUGUUUCGAAGUGUUAGAAGAAAGGUGUGUGCACCAUUGGAAAAAUACAGUAAAACCUCUUUUCAGAAACAAACCAUCUUUGAACUAUUACAGACAUGCAUGCUAAAGAGAAUACAUGAGGCAAGAAAUUACUAAGACUAUUCAUAAACAUACUUGGUUACUUAAUUGUAAAUACACCCACAGCAACGUGUGGGCAUGGCCCUAGUGUACAACAGCAAUCAAGUAGUUACAAUACACAUGUAUGAAGUAUGCUGACAAUUGCAUCAAAGUUUCUUAAAUGUAUGGAUUUCACAUUACAGCCUGCUACCCUACUCUCCCUCCAAAAACCCAGUAGGCAAUCAACACAUCCUUAAUAAGUCCAUAUAUCCAACAAGCUGACAGGCAGCAAUUCAACAAAAGAACUACCCAUCUGCCUGGGCCAUCGGCAACUCCGAACCGCCAAAGUGGCGAUUGGCAUCUGUGACCUCAUACUGCUCAAGCAGGAUGAGGGUGCAAGCGGGACGCAGGCGGUCACCACAGCCAGUCGUCAACCAGCAAGUGGGGAGAGCCUUACCUUGGCUCGUCACUUUGUUGUCUUGCUUCGAAAUUACUCCCUCAGUCCCACAAUAUAAGGCCGUUUUGCAAGCUAAAAAAUAGCUUGCAAAACGAUCUUAUAUUAUGGGACGGAGGGAGUAGACAUUACUACUAACUGUGAAUUGUUACAUUACUAUUGUACUGCUCUUGGUCCCUAGACCCAUGAAUGAGCUGUGUGUUUCUGACAAAAGACUCAAAAUAUGAAGAGGAAAUGUGACAGUUUUACUAUAAAUUGAACCAAAAUCAUUGGCCAUCUAACAAGCAUUCCCUGACGUACAUGGCACGCAGCUGACUUAGUGUGAUGGUUUCAGACUUUCAGUCGAACCAGCAAUAGCAAUUUCCAUGUAAAUUGAACGGAAAGCAAGGGAGCAGCCCGUUUCCUAGUACAGAACCCAAAGAAAUGGAAAUAGAGCGGCGUAGCCACGGGGCACGACCUCACCUUCCAGAUCACCGGCGGCGGCGGCGGCGGCGGCGGACGGUGGAGGCACAGCCCUGCGGCUGCACUUGGCCCUGCGGAUGCGGCUGCGGAAGGCGGAGGUAGAGGUCAGGGACGAGGAGGGGACGGGGCGGCGGUGGGAGCUAGUGUCGUGGUCUCGCCGGUGGAGAGCGAGGCCUAGGGACGUGGCGGUGGCGGCCAUGGCGGCGGUGGGAGGAGCUGUGGCCUGUGGCCGGCGCUGUCCGGAAAGGAUAAGGGUAUACUCAAUUUUUUAUGGGUCCGAAUAACUGCCACACGUGUGGCGUCGAUAGGAACCCGCCCGCACGCUUCGUGCGGCAUAGACGGGGAUCGGCCCGCACGACCACGUCCGAGCGCACAAAAGCACGGCCCGCACGUCCGGUGUGUGGCAAACCCGCCCGCACUGUCAGAAGACCGGCUGCCCGCACGACCCAGCCGAUCCACGCCUCCGAUCCAUCCGUCGAACCCCGACAUCCGUCGCCGGCCAUCCCUGGUUGCCAUGGCAACCAGGGCAGAUCCAUAGGGCGCUCCGACCCCAAACCACACCCUAACCCUUCCCAUCCCCAGCCGCCCACUCCAAUCCAGCCCUCCAGACACGAUCAACUAAAACCAGGUGAAAAUUCUCGAUCUCGUCCUUCCCUCUCAUCCUUAAGGCUGAAAAUCUCUCGAUCUUGUACUGGGUCCAUACUAUAGGGGUAGAACACUGCAUGGUUCGGUGUAUAUUCGCAAUUGCCACGCAGAAUACACCAGAUCUGCCAUGUACUACGUUUGAGGUUAACUUAGGUGCCUAGUUUAGGCACUUAAGUAGUUGGGUAUGAAAUGGAUGAGUAGGAAUCCCUAAAAAAGGGCAGGAAGGACGAUUUUUUGAAUGAAGAGGGUGGGAAAAAAUAAUUGCCACUUGUGUGUAACGACAGUUGCCGCUUGUGUAUGAUGACAAUUGCCACCUAUUUUGACAUGUUGCUUGCCAUCCCUAUCUUCCAUGUGCAAGCAGCAGAAGAAUACAAUUCUUGUGGAUUAUUGAUGCCUUUUUGAUCAUCCAGUGAUUGAGAACAUGUCGGAAAAGAAUCGAGACGCGGAAAGGAUGAAUCGCGAAGGUGGCGCUGAUGCUUGGGGUUCUCAAAGGCCAGAAACACCGCCUUGGGAUGCAGCAGAGUAUAGUCAACUCAUCUCUGCAGGGCCGUUGCUGCCACUACUAGAACAGUAUGCAGGCGUAGGUAUGAUGCGUGGUAACAAAAAGAAGAGAGCAGUUGCCAACUUCGCAACGAUGAAGAUGACAUUCUACUUAUGUCCUACACUCCCAUUUUUUUGCAGGUUCUUAUGACCAAAACACUCUUAGGGGGGCCCCAUGGCAAGUUCAGUCACAAGGCGCUAACACUGACAUAUGUACGGGCAACCAACCUCAACUAGCUAGUAUGGCUAAUCAAGGUAAUGCAAAACCAAAAAAACAC